AGGCCGUGCGCCUGGAGCCACCGGCGUGCCCUUCGCUCUCUGCCAUCCGCGGGCACGCCGCUAGGCCGUCCGGCCACCAGUCCCAGCCCCGAGGACACGAGCGGCGCGGCCAGCCGCCCCCGCGAUCCCUGGUAGGUCUGCUCUGCAGCCCCCAGGGGACCUAGUACCCGUGAGCAGGUAGGGACACCGGGCCUGCAGCGCAGGGGGGCAGCGUGUGGAACAUGACUCCAUCACCCAGUGCUUCUCCCGCUGCCGGAGGCCACACCCACCUGCGCCCAUGGCCAGCACAGGGCCGUCGCUUUCUGGCGCCUUUGACAUUCUAGGUGCGGCGGGUCAGGAUAAGCUCUUGUAUCUUAAGCACAAGCUGAAGACCCUGCGGCCAGGCUGCCGUGGGGCGGACCUCCUGCAUGCCAUGGUGCUCCUAAAGCUGGGCCAGGAGACCGAGGCCAGGAUCUCCCUGGAGGCGCUGAAGGCGGACGCUGUGGCGAAGCUGGUGGCCCGCCAGUGGGCUGGUGUGGACAGCACUGAGGCCCCAGAGGAGCCCCCAGACGUGUCCCGGACUGUUGCCAGGGUGUACCACCUUCUUGCCGAGGAGAGGCUGUGUCCAGCGCCAAUGCGGGAGGAGGCCUACCGGGCAGCCGUCCGUGCUUUCAGGUCCAGGGACGACCCCCAGCUGGGGGAGCUCCAGGAAGAGGCCCGAGACCGGUGCGGAUGGGACGUCCUUAGGGACCUGGGGGCCAUCCAAACUCUCCACUCCGAUCUGGGGUGCCUCCUGCCGUCCUCGGCAUCACCCUCUGGGACCCGCAGCGAUCCACGGCCCAUCGAGGACUUUUUGGACUGGAGCAGAGGGCAUUCCCUGAGAUCCACCGGCAGCCCAGCCUCUCUGGCCAGCAACUUGGAAAUUAGCCAGUCGCCCACCGUGGCCCUCCUCAGCAGUCACCACAGCCCCCACGGGCCCAGCAAGCUGUGUGACAAGCCCCGGGCCAGCCCGGUGCCCGAGCCUGCCCCUAUGGGCUGCCAGGAGCCCGAGGAGAUGACCUGGCCCCCAUCAGUGGAGGCUGCCAGGUCCCUGGUGCGGCCAAACAGCCCAGCCCCCAGGCUUCCCGAGGUGGCCGCAGAUGCAUGCCCCGCCAGCCUGCACGACCCCCCGGAAGCUCCGAAAACCAGCAGUCACUACUCGGUGGAGUGCACGGAUGUGCCAGCAGCUCCCAAAUCUCUCCCCUCGCCUUCCAGAAACGCCUGCCCUGUCGCGGAUCAGACGCCAAUCCAACUUUCAGAGGAAGACACCACUUACCCGGCGGCUCAGCCACGCCCACCGACUCCAUCGGCCCCCAAAACGUCCCCUCCCUCUUCGUCUCCAUCGACUCCUCCUAAGGUUCACCCUACCAUCUCAAAGCCGGGGCCCCCUCCUCCUGAGCUGGAGUCGCAGGAGCAGAAGUUCUAUAACUUUGUGGUGCUGCACGCUGGCGCGGACGAGCACAUCGCGCUGCGCGUGCGCGAGAGGCUGGAGGCCCUGGGCGUGAGCGACGGCGCCACCUUCUGCGAAGAUUUCCAGGUGCCAGGGCGCGGCGAGCUGCACUGCCUGCAGGACGCCUUAGACCACUCGGCCUUCACCAUCCUGUUGCUCACCUCCAACUUCGACUGCCGGCUGAGCCAGCACCAGGCGAACCAGUCUCUGAUGAGCAGCCUCACGCGGCACGGGUGGCAGGAUUGCGUGAUCCCCUUCCUGCCCCUGGAGAGUUCCCAGACCCAGCUCAGCCCCAGAACGUCCAGCCUGCUCACCGGCCUGGUGUGGCUGGACGAGCACUCCCCGAUCUUCGCCAGGAAGGUGGCCAACACCUUCAAGUCCCAGAAGCUGCGGGCCCGCAAGGCCAAGUGGAGAAAGGAACAGGAUGUCCGGGCCCUGCAGGAGAAGAGCCAACACCUGGAGGGUGAGCGGCAGCAGGCAGCGGCGUGGGGUGCCGCGCACUCAGCUUGCCUCCAUAACUACCUGUCCUACCAGAAGCAGAUGGAGAAGCUCCAGGUAGCUUUUGAGAGCUACAUGCCAUUUGGGACUCAACCGCCUUCUGUGCUUCAGGUGCCCUUUGGGGGACCGGGGCCCCUCGGAGCCCCACCACCACCCUUUCCCACCUGGGCGGGCCAUCAGCCGCCGCCCCUCCCUCCUUGGCUGGCGGGCAUGCCCCCACCGGCCUUCCCGCAGCCCUCAGUGGCUUUCCCGCAGCCCCAGGCCUUCCCGCAGCCCCCGGACUUCCCACAGACUUCACCCGGGCACUCUCAGAACCCUGGCCUGCAGCCCCUCAUCAUACAUCAUGCACAGAUGGUACAACUGGGACUCAACAACCACAUGUGGAACCAGAGAGGGACGCAGGCGCCCGAGGACAAGACGCCAGAAACGAAAUGACCAAGUGACUGGACCUGAUGGCCUCGGCCUUGAUUCCCCAUCACCAGGGGUCAGUGGAACAUGGGGUCAUUUGCUACUUUCAGGACACUGCCGGGAAAAUUGACCCCAUGACUUUCUGGCCCUCGAGGUAGCCAGAAUUGGAUGUGUUUACAAAUUCUCAGUCAAUCCCUCCCUCUCUCUGGACCGUGGUGGUGGGGAAUGGGUUGGGGGUAUGGGUAUGGUGUUUUAAUUGUAAUAAAUAUUUAUUGAAUGCUUUGACAGCACCAUUGUCCUCUGGGAGACCUCUGCCUGGCCAUUUGUCAGGAUAAAAAUGUGGCUGCUAUUGCCAUAAAAGGGACAGGAACCAAAAGUUGUGCAUGUUUGCUUUCAUUUCAUUGGUCAGGAUAUAGUCAUAUGGUCCAUCUCCGGCUGCAGGGGAAGCUGUGAAAUGUAGUCUUCUGAUGGGUCACGUGCUUUGCCAGAAGUGUUGGUUCUAAUGCCAGAGAAGGUGGACAGAAAAGACAUUGUCGAGGCGGAAGGAAGGGAGUGGUGAAUGAAUCAUCAAAUGAGGAGGCAAGAUAAUUUCAGAAACUGAGGAGACUUCAGAAGAAAUAAACUGGGCAUGCAUGGUGAUGGGGGUGCCUCAGGAGGAAGAACUUUGGCCCAGGUGACCAGGAAGGCCUCUCUGAGGAGGUGGCAUUAGAGCCAAGACCUGGAGAAAGAGCUUGGGAAGGAAGGGUUAAAUCUUCUGGGCAGAGGAAACAGGCAGUGCAAAGGCCCUGGGGCAGGACCGUGCCUGCGUUGUUGCAUGAACAGCAAGGAUGGGCAGAGUGAGUGAGGAGGAGA